AGUUCUAAAUAACGACGGAAUUUAGAGACAGAAUUUAAUUUGUCACUAAUUGAGACAGAAUUGGAGACGGAAUUUAAUGAUUAGAGACCACAUUUGAAAAUUUCAUAUUAGAGACGGAUUAUAGAGACAGAUAUGCCCGUCACACUUUUUUUCGGUCUCUAAAUCCGUGUCUAACAUGUCUAAAUUAUUUUAAGAAAUAAACCAAAUUUAUGCAGAGACAGAAUAUAGAGACGGAUGAGAGUGGAGACCAAAUUAAUUCAGUCUCUAAAUAAAAAAUAAUUAAAACAAAAUUUUUUCUCUGGUAUUUGUAUUGGAACCAAAACUUUACUUUCACUUGAAAAAUCCCUCCAACUCCAAAAUUUCCCUAAUUUCCAUUUUCACUUCCCCCCAUCAUUUCCCUCUCAAAUAAAAUUUCCCUAAUUCGAUUUUGACAAAACCCUAACUGCAAUUUCAUUUCCACAAAGAAGACCUAAUUCCAUUUCACAUUCGCUCUUAAGCAAAACCCUAAUUUCAUUUUUGUGUUCUUCUAGUGUUUCUGUUGUUCGUUUUUGCUCCCGAAUUUUUCUUGAUCUAUCGUUCAUCUGGGUUACUUUCGUUCGUCUAGGUUGCUUUCUUUCAUUUGGGUUCCUCUCAUUCUUGUGUUUGUCUGGCUUCCUUUCAUUCAUUUGGGUUCCUCUUGUUCCAUUUAAUUCUUGUGUACCUUUCGUUCCUCUAAUCAAUUCAAUCUUUUGUUGCUACUCUUAAUUCACAUUCACUCCUAAUUUCAUCACCACCUAAUACCCAUUUUCCACACACAAUGACACUAUUGGGCUCAGUCUUUCAAGUAUCUAAUUCGUUGAAAUAUAUUCCAAAGAAAGGUAUCUAAUUUGUUUGUUUGUUUGUGUUUUGUGCUAGGAUUGCUUCAUAUGUUGAUUUGUCAUCUCAGGAUAAAGAGGAUGGAUAUUAGCUUAAUAGGUAUUUUAUUCAUUUGAUUUGAUUUCUCUAUUACUACAGUUUGUUCUCUACAGUAAUUUAUCCGCUUUUCUUCCUGCUAUGUUAUGAAUUGAUUUCUUUGUUGGUUUUAUUUUCCAUUAACUUUUGAUGUACGUUCUUUCAUUUUUGUAAUCAAAUUAAGAAAUGUUGGCACUAAAAGGGGCGUGAGUUUCAUUUGUAAACUCAUUGCCUAUGUAUGACAAUGUGACAUUUGACAAACUCUUAGCUACAACUAGUUGGCUAAGUUGUGUUUUAUGCACCAUUGCAGCAGAACGUUGAACUCUAUGUGUUGAACCGGAACUUGUGAUUUACAAUUCAUAGCCACAGUAGAAUUUAGAGUUAUCAUGGUGGUGUUGAAAAAUUUGGGGUGAUACAGGCCUUUGAUCCUAACACAAAUGCAUUUAUAAUUUAUAUUUAUAAUAUGCUUUACUAUAUACUCUAAUAUAUAAGUUGGUUUUUGUUUUGUUAAAUUCUUGCUUCAGCUUCACUGAUUGUGAACUUAUAAUCAUGUGUAGCUAAAUCAUUUGGUUGUGGCAGUAGUUGUAAUUGAGCUUGAGUAAUAAUCCUGUUGGAUAGGGGCACAUCUAACUGUACCAUGGUAUAGCUUGAAGAUAACUUAAUNNNNNNNNNNNNNNNNNNNNNNNNNNNNNNNNNNNNNNNNNNNNNNNNNNNNNNNNNNNNNNNNNNNNNNNNNNNNNNNNNNNNNNNNNNNNNNNNNNNNNNNNNNNNUUGAGGAAUUACUUUAUGUGUGUAGAUAGUUUACUUAGAGAAAGUCAACUAUUAGGACCAUGAUGGAAGGUAUAUUAUGUGUUUUCGUACUGCUUAUUUAACAAUGUAAUUCAAUAUUUUUGCAUUCAUUUACCACUGAAAAUGAUUUGCUGCUAUAUUUAUUUGAAACUAGUUGAUGCAUUAUACAAUUAUGCUAUUAAUCAAUAAUUCACUUUUGUCAAAUGUUUCUCUUUGCAUGUCAAGUUACAGCUGCUCCAAUAAAAGCUUUUUUUUUGCUGAACUAGUCAAGCUUCUCUUCUCGUGUCUUCACUAGUAGGUCAGUUUCUUUUGCUAGCUUUAUGCAUUUCUCAUUUCAAAUUUGGUUCAAUAUCUAACGAUUAUCAACGUUUUUUAUGUUGUUUCAAAAUAAGAGACACAUAACUUUGUUUUGGUUUUGGGAGAGUUACCUAUACAUAGGGAAGACAAAGAAUGUUCUAUUUGUAUCCCUCUUUUUUGCUUUUAAAUGCAUGACACCAGAUUUACCUAUAUUGCGGAGACUGAAUAUUUUUCUAUAAUUUCAUGCAUUUUGAACCAGUUCUUCAUAGGGGUGGCAGGGGUAGUACAAGCUUGUUCAUGCUAUGUUAAUAGUCCUUGUAGAAUGAGGUGAAGAGCACCUGUAACUAUUUUUCAGAUUGGUGAGUAAAUCAAUUAUAAAAUUAUGUAGAGAUAUUUUUUGAGUCACUGGUACCUAAUAAUUUUAUAGGACUUGUUUAAUUUUCCAUGUUCUGUUUGUAUGUUGAUUAAUUUUCUCAUUGGAUUCAUCUCUAACUGAAUAGUAACAAAAUUGAGGCCAUUUAGAUAUAGAAUAUUAAUUUUGACUUUUCUAGUCAUAUUUUCUUCUCUUUUCUAUGUCACUAUUCAGCUUUUCUACUGGUACCAUAGAAUUAGGAGUGCUGAUUGGAAAAGGUGGCUAUUUUGGAAAUGUAUUAAAACUACACCUCUCUUAUGUUUCAGCCAAGAAGAUGCAGGUUACAUAUAUCUCUAAUUCUCUCUCUUGUUAACAUUACAUAAAUAAAUAGUUCUAGUGAAUGUCUUGUAACUUUUUAAUUUUUUUGGGUGCAAAUUUCCUAGUGGAUGCUAUGCACUACACAUUAUCUAAAAUGUUAAGCUUAAAUUAGAUGCAAGUGUUGGUUGAACCUACAAUUAUCAAUGGCUUCUUUCUUUGCAGAUAUAUUAAUACCGGUCUUGGUUCAGGUUGGAAUUAGGUGGCUGCAAUUAUUUAAUUAUGGUAUUGGUGAGCUUAGAAAGUAAGGAUUUGUUGGGCUGUUGCUCGAGGACAAUAUUCAAGACUAUUAAAUGAAAUCAUAUUUAUAGUUAGUGAGAUUUAAGCAUUCUGGUUUCAUGAUAUGACAUUUGUGUAGUCUAUGUAAUUCCAUUUGUACUUUCUUAUCUGUUGUAUCAUUUCAUAUAGGUUGUAGUUUUUUUGUUAAGAGCGUUGGAUCUUGAUUUAGGUGUAGUUCUGCAUAUUGUCAAUGCUGAGCAACUAAUGGAAUAUUUUGUAAUUUUGGCACUUCAAAAUAUUUUGUGUGCUUUGUGGUUGUCUUUCCUUUUAAUGCAAGUGUUGUUUAUUCAAAACAAUAAAAUAGAUUAUUAUCUAUUUAGAC
rnacentral:lncRNA from 1 species